GACAGCUAAAGGAAACCAUUCAGCAGGUAAGAAUGAGAUAGACUUUUCAGUGCCAGGCAACCAUUGCGCUGUAGAGAAGUGGAACAACAUUCAUGGUACUGCUAUUGUUAAUCGAAAGAACUUUCUUUUGUUAACAUGGUACCCACUAACGUGUGCAUAUGCAUUUUUCUCCUGUAGUCCUAGAGGGAUAAAGACACAUAUAAUUACGAUGGAGGUGACAGGCCUGAAAAUGUGAGAAUUGAAGCAAUACAUUCCCUUGUAUAUAUGUUUUCUCUUUUGAAAUAUCUCAAUAGUUUUCCAAUUUGUUUCCUGUAAAUCUCAUAUUUUAAUACUCCUUAGACCUUAGUAAUGCAUAGGUGUAAUAUUUGUUGAUAUUGCAAUUUUGAAGGAUCUGCUUUUCUUGUAUAGAUCUAUUUUUUUAAUCUUGAAGGCAGUACGAGAGGCCCUAAUGACAUAUAUACAGUACUAACAAGAAUAUGGGGGCUUUCAUAACUUGAGGUAGCUUCCAUCUUCUUGUUGUGUAUUUAUUUUUCUUAGAUGAAAAUCUUACACCAAGAAGUGGGGUCUCUCAGAAAAUUAUCAUUGUUAUUCUCCUUUUCAUUGUUUGGGCUUUUUUUCUCAAUAUAUGCUUCUACAAAAAAAAUGUAGGUCGGCCCCAUGUUGCCACCGUGGCCGGUGACUCGGGUGGAUCCAAUCCCCCCGGCCUCCAGGGUCAUUGUGCCCUCUCUCCAUUACCUCCUUCGUCGCUGGAGGAUGCUGACGGGCUAAGCCUAGGGGGUCGACGAUGAUGGCGGAGGCUCCUGCCUUCACUGCAUCGGUGGAUCACGCGGAAUCUCUGGGCACAUGGAGCAUUGCCAAAACCAGCACCAGGGUGGCGCUCGGCUGACUCCCGACGUUGGUUCCACACAAACACAUGGGGAGGGGAACUAUAUGUUACAAUCUGAAAAUGGCUAAGGAGACAUCAGAUCUACCUUCUUGGCUCGGAGGGUGUCAUGGGUGGCGCACAACUCCCCCCUAUCGACAGAAACACAUGGGGAGGGGAACAGAACAGAGAGCGGGGCGGUUGGCGGGGGACUCCUCGGCGGUCCGUGGGGAAAUACAAUGUGAAGAAGAGAGUGCGACAUGACGAAGGUGAGAUGGGCGUUAUCUGGUUUCAAUGGAGAGGGCUCCAGUGAAAAAUGUCCCGUUAUGGCGGGAAACGAGUGGGGAGGUGAGGGUUCGGCAGGGAAAGAGAAGGGUGCGUCGUGGGUGUGGUUUUUUUUAAUUUGUUCGGCGCGCACUUGUUAGAGAUAACAUGGCCAAUAGUCUGGAUAACCAUAUUUCUUCCUCACAUAUGGAUAUGCAUGGAUUUGAAGAUACCCUAUUCUCGAGACGGUUGAAUUUUGGGGAUCCUGUUAGAUGUUCGUUUGAUGUACGUUCACACUCGAACGUAGGAGGGAGAAAUGAGCUUCCACUUUAGAAUUUAAUUAUUUUUUUGAUUUAUUUAUAUGCAUUGUAGUCCGUAGCAACGCACGGGCAUUCUACUGGACUGACAUAAAGUCAGUGAGUUCAAAAUUUCCAUGUUUAGUUUUGACUGAUGUUAUGGUUCUUCAUUGAGUUUUGUUCCAGGUAUUUACCUAGAUCCUUGAAAUGCUAUUCGUAUUGGCCUGAAUGCAGUUGAAUUCUGAAUCAUAAACAAGCUGGGAGAUUUGUCUUCCACAUAGUAGGUGCUGAUGCUUAUGAUUUUCUUCAAAAAAGAUAUGGGAAAGGCUAACCCAAUAUUUUAGUUUUCAUUAUGAGGACCAUGUACAUAAUCGACCAUAUAGUUCAAAAAAGAUCUAUUGGUGAAGGUUUGUUUGAGUUCCACUAUUUCAGUUCACACAUGUACAUGUUCUGUAUUUUUUGCAGUUUUUAGUGCAUGCUCGGAGAACAAGAUAAGAGGAGAGGCUUGAAUCUUGAGAUGACAAGGGUAGUCACCUGCUGCGACUAAAGGUUCAGUUUCAUACUUCUGAUGAUAUUGUUCGGAUGAUUGCCCUUGUACUAUUCUUUUUAGUACGUACUAAAAUAUCUUGUUGUACGAAAAUCUGAUUUCUACUAAAACUUUGUCAAGUGGCUCAUUUUUCUUGUACUAAUAUCUGAAUUUUUUUACUGAUUACUGAAAUGUACCUUGUUACUAAAACUUCAUAGGAAGGAGGUCAAUGAAGCAAAAGGCACGAAAAGGAAGGAGCAGCGCCACAGGGACGAUGUUGUCGGCAGCGCUUUGGAAGGAUUCGCUCCAGAGAAGUUACGGUAGUCGGCCAUCGCCCAGGGGAAGCGGGGAGGAUGUCGUUCGAAACGCCUGGGUCUAGAGGAGUGUGUCCAGGUGGUGGCCGAGGAUGGCGACGAGCAAUUGGGUUGAGCAUUUGUCAACGUGAUGGUGUCGUUGCUAAAG
rnacentral:lncRNA from 1 species